CUUGGGUACUCGAGUGGCGAACGGGUGAGUAACACGUGGGUGAUCUGCCCUGCACUUCGGGAUAAGCCUGGGAAACUGGGUCUAAUACCGGAUAGGACCACAUUUUGGAUGGUGUGGUGGAAAGUUUUUCGGUGUGGGAUGAGCUCGCGGCCUAUCAGCUUGUUGGUGGGGUAAUGGCCUACCAAGGCGUCGACGGGUAGCCGGCCUGAGAGGGUGUACGGCCACAUUGGGACUGAGAUACGGCCCAG
rnacentral:rRNA from 1 species